AUCUAUUUAGUUAAGUAGUAUAAUACCGAACUUGCAAUCGUAAGUUAGGGGUCGCGGGUUCGAAUCCCGUAAUAGGUA
rnacentral:tRNA from 1 species